rnacentral:tRNA from 2 species
ACUAUGAUUUCUAAACGUUAAAGCAGGGAUUUAAAAUCCCUCGGCGUUCGCGCUGUGCGGGUUCAAGUCCCGCUCCGGGUACCA